rnacentral:rRNA from 1 species
CAGUAGCCGCGGUAAUACGAAGGGGGCUAGCGUUGCUCGGAAUGACUGGGCGUAAAGGGCGCGUAGGCGGAUUGUUUAGUUAGGCGUGAAAUUCCUGGGCUUAACCUGGGGACUGCGCUUAAUACAGGCAGUCUAGAGUGAGGAAGAGGGUUGUGGAAUUCCCAGUGUAGAGGUGAAAUUCGUAGAUAUUGGGAAGGACACCGGUGGCGAAGGCGGCAACCUGGUCCUUGACUGACGCUGAGGCGCGAAAGCGUGGGGAGCAAACAGGAUUAGAUACCCCAGUAGUCCUGUCUCUUAUACA